rnacentral:rRNA from 1 species
UACGUAGGGGGCGAGCGUUAUCCGGAUUCAUUGGGCGUAAAGCGCGCGUAGGCGGCCGCCUAAGCGGAACCUCUAACCCCGGGGCUCAACCUCGGGCCGGGUUCCGGACUGGGCGGCUCGAGUGCGGUAGAGGAGAGCGGAAUUCCCGGUGUAGCGGUGGAAUGCGCAGAUAUCGGGAAGAACACCGAUAGCGAAGGCAGCUCUCUGGGCCGUCACUGACGCUGAGGCGCGAAAGCUGGGGGAGCGAACAGG